rnacentral:rRNA from 2 species
GCAAGUCGAACGAACUCUGGUAUUGAUUGGUGCUUGCAUCAUGAUUUACAUUUGAGUGAGUGGCGAACUGGUGAGUAACACGUGGGAAACCUGCCCAGAAGCGGGGGAUAACACCUGGAAACAGAUGCUAAUACCGCAUAACAACUUGGACCGCAUGGUCCGAGUUUGAAAGAUGGCUUCGGCUAUCACUUUUGGAUGGUCCCGCGGCGUAUUAGCUAGAUGGUGAGGUAACGGCUCACCAUGGCAAUGAUACGUAGCCGACCUGAGAGGGUAAUCGGCCACAUUGGGACUGAGACACGGCCCAAACUCCUACGGGAGGCAGCAGUAGGGAAUCUUCCACAAUGGACGAAAGUCUGAUGGAGCAACGCCGCGUGAGUGAAGAAGGGUUUCGGCUCGUAAAACUCUGUUGUUAAAGAAGAACAUAUCUGAGAGUAACUGUUCAGGUAUUGACGGUAUUUAACCAGAAAGCCACGGCUAACUACGUGCCAGCAGCCGCGGUAAUACGUAGGUGGCAAGCGUUGUCCGGAUUUAUUGGGCGUAAAGCGAGCGCAGGCGGUUUUUUAAGUCUGAUGUGAAAGCCUUCGGCUCAACCGAAGAAGUGCAUCGGAAACUGGGAAACUUGAGUGCAGAAGAGGACAGUGGAACUCCAUGUGUAGCGGUGAAAUGCGUAGAUAUAUGGAAGAACACCAGUGGCGAAGGCGGCUGUCUGGUCUGUAACUGACGCUGAGGCUCGAAAGUAUGGGUAGCAAACAGGAUUAGAUACCCUGGUAGUCCAUACCGUAAACGAUGAAUGCUAAGUGUUGGAGGGUUUCCGCCCUU